rnacentral:ribozyme from 13 species
AAAAUAACAAAUCAGAAAAUCGUUAUCUGACAUCCUCGACUCUUCUAUAACUUUUGUUCUCUUCUCUUCUUCUUUUUCAAUUUCUUCUUUUUCCUG